AGCAAAUUUUAAUUACAAGAAUAUUUAUCUCAUUUUCAUAUAGAAAGAAUUUAUAUAAAACAUAAAAUUGUAUUUACUUUUGUCCAAAUCCAAAAUUUGUGUUGCUUGAAGUUGCAGGUGUUCCAAAUGUUAAAUUGUUCUCAUUUGUACGAAAAUAGUUGCUAGAGCGCCAUCUAUAAUAUGUAAAGAUGUUUGAUUUAAAUUUAAACAUAAAUUCGGCUCUAGUACCGUUAAAAGUACACAUGAUAAAUGUCUGAGAGAUGAUAAAGGUGGAAGUGUUCCGCGCAAUCUAACUUCACUCCAUCCAACUCUAGUUUUACAAAUAUCAAUACAAUCAAAAUAUUUU